GCCUUAAGGUCCUUGCAUACAGAGUCCGAAAUUUUCAUAUGCGUUUUUUUGUAUUCGUCAUCCAUUACUAAUAUUUCAGACGAGAAUUUCGGACUCAAGGUCCUUGCACACUGAGUCCAAAAUAUCCGAAUGUGUUUUUUCGUUUCUUUUUUUUUUUCGUAUUCGUCAUCCUUUCCUAUCAAAAUGCUUGCUCCGGAUGCGAAAACGCAGAAAAACAAACCUGAUACAAAUUGUUUUUAUGAUGGACGAAAGUUUCGGAGGCAGUGUGUAAAUGUGUUUGACACAACGUGAGAUCGUAUUUAUUUUUUAACGUGUGAAAAUUUCGGACUUCGAAACUACAAAAAUCCUGAUUACAAAGCUGAUAUUUGGUAAUAUGUUAAAUCGUGGUAGUGAACGUGCACUGCCAUAAAUGUAAAUGCUAACGCGAAACACUACAGACAGAAGCGUUGUUGUUUUCAUGCAUU